CAGAUGGAUCCCAAAACCAUUUAAGCUGGUUCCUUUUCAAUUAGCUGUUACUGAACUGCAGCUGACUCCAUUCAGAAAUGCUGUAUUCAAGGAGCUUGGAUCUGGGAUACCGUCCUCAAUUUCAGCUCAUGUCCCACCUCCCUGUGAAUAAGGAACAUUAACCCCCCCUUACAAUGAAAAGUAGCUCUGCUCCUUGGAAACCUUAGAUGCUGCUCCUUUUCAGGCACGGGGAGAAAGGAAUUCUUCUUCUCCAGUAGUCACAAAACCACCAAACCCACAGCCACAGGGUGGCCCCAGGACUUACCUCCUCCUGUUGAAUGUGUGUGUUUGCGGCCCUGUGGUUUUUCAGUGGAGCAGACCACAGUCCAGUCAUCCUGAGCACACAUUACAUCUUCACCUCACUGCUGAAAGGCCUUUCCUGACAAGCCCUCAAACGCUCAUGUUACUCCAGAGGAAACACUUCAGAGGCACUGUGAGGGGUGGGCUGCAAAGCAACGCAAGGAAAGUUGAACAGUGCCAUGGAGCCAGGGGCUGGAGACGCCACCCCCUACUGAUGCCCUUGGGUGACCUUCACCAUCCUGUAGCUCUGCAGUUCUGGGGAGGGGAGGGGCGUGCAAGACCUGCAAGAGGGGGGCCCUUAGUCACAAGAUACUUCCUGGUAAAAAGAGAAGGAGGCCAAAAUGGAUUUGAGAUUAUAUAGAGAGUAGGAUCUUUUUAAAGAGUUUUAUCUCAAAGGGAAGGGAGAAAAAAAAUGAUUUUAAAAAAAGCAACACUUGAACUAGGCUUUUGUAUUCAAGAGGCAGGCAGGAAUACCCACAGUGUGUAACUUAUGCAGCUAGAGCUGCUCAUUCACUGGCAAAAAUUUUAAAAAAGAGAGCAAGUCUGCUCUUAAAAAAAUACUGUGUGUCCUGUGAGGUGAAUUUGUUCACCUAUUAGGUUGGAGACCUGAAGAGCUUGGCUGAGAUGAUCUGUUUUCUACCAGGGCAAGUCAUCACAAAAAUGACUGAACUUACUUUUGAACUUGCACUGCCAUGAUCCUGCUGUGCUUUUCAGCAUUGGGGCUAUCAAACUGAAUGGGCUAAUCAAAUACAAUUCUCAGGCCCGUAAGCAUUGUUCUAAAGUCUUCAUCAUUAAAUGAUAUGCUGUGAGAACAAUAGACAGUUUAUUUUAUUAGGCCAUGGCCUGGGGGAAGGGGGUCAGGGGGCUCCUCAUGGCAGCCCACCAUGCGUCACUAAUUCUAAAAGAGUUUCCUUCUAGUAAUGAAUUCCCUCAAUGGAACUGGGGGGCAGUUGGGAGAAGUAAAGUAGAACCAGCCUCCAUUCACCCUCUAGCCCUCCCGGGAAAUUAAAUCCAAUAUAUAUUUGAGGUACCAUCCCUUAAAAAAAAAAAAAAAAUCCCAUCAGCCUCUAAUGGGCUUAAUUCAUCCACAGGAAAAUUCAUUUCUUAAAAUUCACUAUUUCCCUUCUGCUCGGGUUCUCAG
ensembl:lncRNA